rnacentral:rRNA from 1 species
AGAGUUUGAUCAUGGCUCAGGACGAACGCUGGCGGCGCGCUUAACACAUGCAAGUCGUACGGGUUCACUCCUUCGGGAGCGUGCUAGUGGCGAACGGGUGCGUAACACGUGAGCAACCUGCCUGUUGGUGGGGGAUAACCCGGGGAAACCCGGGCUAAUACCGCAUGAGCUCUCCGGGCCGAUUGACCUGGAGAGGAAAGCCGCUUAACGGCGGCGCCAGUAGAGGGGCUCGCGGCGUAUCAGGUAGUUGGUGGGGUAACGGCCCACCAAGCCGACGACGCGUAGCCGAUCUGAGAGGAUGAUCGGCCACAUUGGGACUGAGAUACGGCCCAGACUCCUACGGGAGGCAGCAGUGGGGAAUCUUGCGCAAUGGGCGAAAGCCUGACGCAGCGACGCCGCGUGCGGGAGGAAGCUCUUCGGGGUGUAAACCGCUGUCAGAGGGGAAGAAAUGUCCCGGGAGGAAAUGCUCGGGAUUUGACGGUACCCUCAGAGGAAGCACCGGCUAACUCUGUGCCAGCAGCCGCGGUAAUACAGAGGGUGCGAGCGUUGUUCGGAAUUACUGGGCGUAAAGCGCGCGCAGGCGGCCCUUUAAGUCUGUCGGUCAAAUGCCGGGGCUCAACCCCGUGCUCGCCGGAGAUACUGGAGGGCUGGAGACACGUAGAGGCAAGCGGAAUUCCGGGUGUAGCGGUGGAAUGCGUAG